GCAUCAACCUGAGAAGGCAGCUGUGACACUGCAGGGGGAGAAUACCCCCAGGCAGGUGGCCUGUCCAUCCCCACAGUUGCCAAGUGACACGUGCCUGCAGCCUGUGCACCUUGCAGAGUGAUAAACAGUUGUCAGGCUGAUGCUGGGAUGGUGCUGGUUACUUGCACACACUGAUGGCUGGUCACAGGGGAGGAGCUUUUCCCACUGACAGUGAAUCAUGCCUGUGGAUGCAUUCUCAUGGAAGCACCGUUACGCUUUUGGAAGCUUGGGAUGCACAGAAUGCCCUACUUCAAAUGCAAGAUAAAGCAUUGGCUGUUCAUGUGCAAAGUGCACCACUCUGAGUGUGCAGCUUUCAUAUAAAAGAAUAUUAGUCC